GGGAUUAGUCAUAUUACAGCAAUUUCAAUAGUACAUUACGGUACCAAAACAAAUACAAACGUACAAAGCUGUGGUGAGUCACACACCAUGACAAUUUCCAUAUCUUUCUCCAUGUUCUACAAAUAGGGAAAAUUCAUUUACAAUUUCCUGUUUAGGAAAGCAGACCUUUUCUAACGAUGCCUUUCAGAUUCAUUCACUAAACAAGGAGUUAAGAACUGACAGAGCCAAACUGGU